CAGCAGCCGCGGGAAUACGAAGGGGGCUAGCGUUGUUCGGAUUUACUGGGCGUAAAGCGCACGUAGGCGGACUUUUAAGUCAGGGGUGAAAUCCCGGGGCUCAACCCCGGAACUGCCUUUGAUACUGGGAGUCUUGAGUUCGAGAGAGGUGAGUGGAAUUGCGAGUGUAGAGGUGAAAUUCGUAGAUAUUCGCAGGAACACCAGUGGCGAAGGCGGCUCACUGGCUCGGUACUGACGCUGAGGUGCGAAAGCGUGGGGAGCAAACAGGAUUAGAUACCCGGGUAGUCCCUGUCUCUUAUAC
rnacentral:rRNA from 1 species